AUGAACGCUGGCGGCGUGCCUAAUACAUGCAAGUCGAGCGAACAGAUGAGGAGCUUGCUCCUCUGACGUUAGCGGCGGACGGGUGAGUAACACGUGGAUAACCUACCUAUAAGACUGGGAUAACUUCGGGAAACCGGAGCUAAUACCGGAUAAUAUAUUGAACCGCAUGGUUCAAUAGUGAAAGACGGUUUUGCUGUCACUUAUAGAUGGAUCCGCGCCGCAUUAGCUAGUUGGUAAGGUAACGGCUUACCAAGGCAACGAUGCGUAGCCGACCUGAGAGGGGGAUCGGCCACACGGGAACUGAGACACGGUCCAGACUCCUACGGGAGGCAGCAGUAGGGAAUCUUCCGCAAUGGGCGAAAGCCUGACGGAGCAACGCCGCGUGAGUGAUGAAGGUCUUCGGAUCGUAAAACUCUGUUAUUAGGGAAGAACAAAUGUGUAAGUAACUAUGCACGUCUUGACGGUACCUAAUCAGAAAGCCACGGCUAACUACGUG
rnacentral:rRNA from 1 species